rnacentral:rRNA from 1 species
AGAGUUUGAUCAUGGCUCAGGAUGAACGCUAGCUACAGGCUUAACACAUGCAAGUCGAGGGGCAGCAUGUUGGUUGCUUGCAACCAAUGAUGGCGACCGGCGCACGGGUGAGUAACGCGUAUCCAACCUACCCUUGUCCAUCGGAUAACCCGUCGAAAGGCGGCCUAACACGAUAUGCGGUUCACAGCAGGCAUCUAAGGUGAACGAAAUGUGAAGGAGAAGGAUGGGGAUGCGUCUGAUUAGCUUGUUGGCGGGGUAACGGCCCACAAGGCUACGAUCAGUAGGGUUCUGAGAGGAAGGUCCCCCANAUUGGAACUGAGACACGGUCCAAACGUCCUACGGGAGGCA